GGGCUUCUGACUGCUUAUUGCACCACAUGUGUUUUUUAUUGAACAAAUUUCUUUGGUGGCGGGAGCAAUCCUACCGCCAGAGGUUAUAACUAAACCAAACUUUUUAUUUACAGUCAAACUUGAUUUAUUAUUACAAUAGUCAAAACUUUCAACAACGGAUCUCUUGGUUCUCGCAUCGAUGAAGAACGCAGCGAAAUGCGAUACGUAAUAUGAAUUGCAGAUAUUCGUGAAUCAUCGAAUCUUUGAACGCACAUUGCGCCCUUUGGUAUUCCAAAGGGCAUGCCUGUUUGAGCGUCAUUUCUCCCUCAAACCCCCGGGUUUGGUGUUGAGCAAUACGCUAGGUUUGUUUGAAAGAAUUUACGUGGAAACUUAUUUUAAGCGACUUAAGUUUAUCCAAAACGCUUAUUUUGCUAGUGGCCACCACAAUUUAUUUCAUAACUUUGACCUCAAAUCAGGGAGGACUACCCGCUGAACUUAAGCAUAUCAAAAAGCGGGAGGGAA
rnacentral:rRNA from 1 species